rnacentral:rRNA from 1 species
GUAUAUGCCUAUAGAAUAGCGCUAAUGCACCAGAUCACAUUAGAACUCCGCAAUUAGGCGCACUCAGGAUGGAGUAGUAUUGGGAUGGGUGACUGCUUGGGAAGUCCUAGUGUUUUACAUG